UACGGGGGGAGCAAGCGUUGUUCGGAUUUACUGGGCGUAAAGGGCGCGUAGGCGGUCAGCACAAGUCAGUUGUGAAAUCUCCGGGCUUAACUCGGAAAGGUCAACUGAUACUGUGCGACUAGAGUGCAGAAGGGGCAACUGGAAUUCCUGGUGUAGCGGUGGAAUGCGCAGAUAUCAGGAGGAACACCGAUGGCGAAGGCAGCUCGCUGGGACGGUACUGACGCUGAGGCGCGAAAGCGUGGGGAGCGAACAGG
rnacentral:rRNA from 1 species